UUGCUUUCUUUGCCGGCGACCGGCGCACGGGUGAGUAACACGUAUCCAACCUGCCCUUUACUCGGGGAUAGCCUUUCGAAAGAAAGAUUAAUACCCGAUGGCAUAAUGAUUCCGCAUGGUUUCAUUAUUAAAGGAUUCCGGUAAAGGAUGGGGAUGCGUUCCAUUAGGUUGUUGGUGAGGUAACGGCCCACCAAGCCUUCGAUGGAUAGGGGUUCUGAGAGGAAGGUCCCCCACAUUGGAACUGAGACACGGUCCAAACUCCUACGGGAGGCAGCAUG
rnacentral:rRNA from 1 species